GUCCAGGGAUGGGAAUCGAACCCACAGUGUUCCGCUUACCGGGCAGAUGUGUCCACUAGGCUACCCUGGA